UUCGAAAGAAGGGAGUGCCCGCAAGGGAGCGCGGAGACAGGUGGUGCAUGGCUGUCGUCAGCUCGUGUCGUGAGAUGUUGGGUUAAGUCCCGCAACGAGCGCAACCCUCACCCCUAGUUGCCACCGGGUAAAGCCGAGCACUCGAGGGGAACUGCCAGCGUCAAGCUGGAGGAAGGCGGGGAUGACGUCAAGUCAUCAUGCCCCUUACGCCCUGGGCUACACACGUGCUACAAUGGCCAGUACAAAGGGAUGCAAGACCGCGAGGUGGAGCUAAACCCAAAAAGCCGGUCUAAGUUCAGAUUGGAGUCUGCAACUCGACUCCAUGAAGGAGGAAUCGCUAGUAAUCGCGUAUCAGCACGACGCGGUGAAUACGUUCCCGGGCCUUGUACACACCGCCCGUCACACCACGAAAGUCAGUUGUACUCGAAGUCGCU
rnacentral:rRNA from 1 species